UGGAUGAUGUGGUUUAAUUCGAUGCAACGCGAAAACCUUACCACCUUUGACAUGUACGGAACCUUUAGAGAUAGAGGGUGCUCGAAAGAGAGCCGUAACACAGGUGCUGCAUGGCUGUCGUCAGCUCGUGUCGUGAGAUGUUGGGUUAAGUCCCGCAACGAGCGCAACCCUUGUCAUUAGUUGCUACAUUCAGUUGGGCACUCUAAUGAGACUGCCGGUGACAAGCCGGAGGAAGUGGGGAUGACGUCAAGUCCUCAUGGCCCUUAUAGGUGGGGCUACACACGUCAUACAAUGGCUGGUACAAAGGGUUGCCAACCCGCGAGGGGGAGCCAAUCCCAUAAAGCCAGUCGUAGUCCGGAUCGUAGUCUGCAACUCGACUACGUGAAGUCGGAAUCGCUAGUAAUCGUGGAUCAGAAUGUCACGGUGAGUACGUUCCCGGGUCUU
rnacentral:rRNA from 1 species